rnacentral:rRNA from 1 species
UACAGAGGUCCCGAGCGUUGUUCGGAUUCACUGGGCGUAAAGGGUGCGUAGGCGGUCGGGUAAGUCUGAUGUGAAAUCUCACAGCUUAACUGUGAAACUGCAUUGGAUACUAUUCGGCUUGAGGUCUGGAGGGGGGACUGGAAUUCUUGGUGUAGCAGUGAAAUGCGUAGAUAUCAAGAGGAACACCAGUGGCGAAGGCGAGUCCCUGGACAGGUCCGGACGCUGAGGCACGAAAGCUAGGGGAGCAAACAGG